GAGUCAGUUAAUGUUAAUCCGGUCAAACUGAAGGAAACAAAGAGUUAUAACGUAGAAAAGAUCAAUGUGAUAGUUUUGCAAUCCCCAAACAAGAUACCGGGUCAGGACGACAGCCCCGAUGACGCAGCUGAUCCACUUACCGUGCAAGUCAGUGCUGCAAAUAGUUCACAUUUGGAUAUAAUGCGACUCAACUGGACUCAGAUAUUUUUGUUUCUUAUGAAACAAAUAUAUCCUUCGAAAUACACCUUGUUUUUUAACCUUUUGUUAGACAAAGCAGGUUGCAACAAAACAGCUUGGGUUAUUGAAUCAGUAGAGUGUAACAAAAAGUGGAAAACUGAAGAUAUAAUGCUCAAACUGUUUCAAAUCUGGAAAGAGGGGUCUCGUUCGAAC